UACGUAGGGGGCGAGCGUUGUCCGAAGUUACUGGGCGUAAAGCGCGCGUAGGCGGGGGAUUAAGUGAGAGGUGAAAGGCUCAGGCUCAACCUGAUGCAGGGCCUCUCAUACUGGUUCUCUUGAGGGCGGCAGGGAGAAGUGGAAUGGCUGGUGUAGCGGUGAAAUGCGUAGAUAUCAGUCGGAACACCCGUAGCGAAGGCGGCUUCUUGGGCCGUACCUGACGCUGAGGCGCGAAAGCCAGGGGA
rnacentral:rRNA from 1 species